rnacentral:rRNA from 1 species
CCUACGGGAGGCAGCAGUGAGGAAUAUUGGUCAAUGGCCGCAGGGCUGAACCAGCCAAGUCGCGUGAGGGAUGACGGUCCUAUGGAUUGUAAACCUCUUUUGUCAGGGAGCAAAGGGCGCCACGUGUGGCGCUUUGCGAGUACCUGAAGAAAAAGCAUCGGCUAACUCCGUGCCAGCAGCCGCGGUAAUACGGAGGAUGCGAGCGUUAUCCAGAUUUAUUGGGUUUAAAGGGUGCGCAGGCGGAAUGUCAAGUCAGCGGUAAAAUUUCGGGGCUCAACCCCGUCGUGCCGUUGAAACUGGCGUUCUUGAGUGAGCGAGAGGUAGGCGGAAUGCGUGGUGUAGCGGUGAAAUGCAUAGAUAUCACGCAGAACUCCGAUUGCGAAGGCAGCAUACCGGCGCUCAACUGACGCUCAUGCACGAAAGCGUGGGUAUCGAACAGGAUUAGAUACCCGAGUAGUC